AGAGAGAGACAUGCGCGCAUAUCAAUAAGCGGAGGAAAAGAAACUAACAAGGAUUCCCUUAGUAACGGCGAGUGAAGCGGGAAGAGCUCAAAUUUGAAAUCUUCAAGGUUCUACCUUGACGAAUUGUAGUUUAUAGAAGUGUUUUCUGUUAGUGGAGUGGCAAAAGUUCUUUGGAAUAGGACAUCAUAGAGGGUGAGAAUCCCGUAUUUGGUCAUUCCUCCUAGCGUUGUGAUACACUUUCAACGAGUCGGAUUGUUUGGGAAUGCAGUCCAAAAUGGGUGGUAAAUUUCAUCUAAAGCUAAAUAUUGGCGAGAGACCGAUAGCGAACAAGUACCGUGAGGGAAAGAUGAAAAGAACUUUGAAAAGAGAGUUAAACAGUACGUGAAAUUGUCAAAAGGGAAGCGUUUGACACCAGUGUUGUUUUCUCCGAAAAUCAAUUACGAAUGUUUUAUUUUUGAGGAGUUAUGACUUCAUCGGCUUGCUCCUUUCUUUACUGAAACUUUCUUAAUGCACUUUUCGGUUAACAAGUCAACAUCAAUUUCUUUUGUUGUAAAAGGGUAUGAGGAAGGUGGCUUUCUUUUCGGAGAAAGUGUUUAUAGCCUUGUGCCUCUGCAAUCGGAGAGAUUGAGGUCUGCAGCGUAGAUCCUUCGGGGUUAGAUACGUUUGUGCUAAGUUAUAGCUUUUCAUAGACAACUUGUUGACUAUGUUUAGUCUUGUAGCUUACUCGCUGAUGCUAUUUUACCUACGCUUAGGAUGUUGAUAGUCACAGCGUGUAC
rnacentral:rRNA from 1 species